rnacentral:lncRNA from 1 species
GGGAAGAUGCACGAGAGACGCUUCCCAAAAGCUCUGAGCCGUGACAUAGGAGUUCACAUCAGUUGGGGAACCACCGACCGAGUCCUUCGUUGCUUGAAAAAUGAAAUAGGUGCGUUCUCUGUUUUCAUCCAGACAAGGAUAUCUGAAC